GCCGAGGUAGCUCAGUCGGUAGAGCGAUGGACUGAAAAUCCAUGCGUGGGGAGUUCGAUUCUCUCCCUCGGCA
rnacentral:tRNA from 1 species